AGAGUUUGAUCCUGGCUCAGAUUGAACGCUGGCGGCAGGCCUAACACAUGCAAGUCGAACGGUAACAGGAAGCAGCUUGCUGCUUCGCUGACGAGUGGCGGACGGGUGAGUAAUGUCUGGGAAACUGCCUGAUGGAGGGGGAUAACUACUGGAAACGGUAGCUAAUACCGCAUAACGUCGCAAGACCAAAGAGGGGGACCUUCGGGCCUCUUGCCAUCGGAUGUGCCCAGAUGGGAUUAGCUAGUAGGUGGGGUAACGGCUCACCUAGGCGACGAUCCCUAGCUGGUCUGAGAGGAUGACCAGCCACACUGGAACUGAGACACGGUCCAGACUCCUACGGGAGGCAGCAGUGGGGAAUAUUGCACAAUGGGCGCAAGCCUGAUGCAGCCAUGCCGCGUGUAUGAAGAAGGCCUUCGGGUUGUAAAGUACUUUCAGCGGGGAGGAAGGGAGUAAAGUUAAUACCUUUACUCAUUGACGUUACCCGCAGAAGAAGCACCGGCUAACUCCGUGCCAGCAGCCGCGGUAAUACGGAGGGUGCAAGCGUUAAUCGGAAUUACUGGGCGUAAAGCGCACGCAGGCGGUUUGUUAAGUCAGAUGUGAAAUCCCCGGGCUCAACCUGGGAACUGCAUCUGAUACUGGCAAGCUUGAGUCUCGUAGAGGGGGGUAGAAUUCCAGGUGUAGCGGUGAAAUGCGUAGAGAUCUGGAGGAAUACCGGUGGCGAAGGCGGCCCCCUGGACGAAGACUGACGCUCAGGUGCGAAAGCGUGGGGAGCAAACAGGAUUAGAUACCCUGGUAGUCCACGCCGUAAACGAUGUCGACUUGGAGGUUGUGCCCUUGAGGCGUGGCUUCCGGAGCUAACGCGUUAAGUCGACCGCCUGGGGAGUACGGCCGCAAGGUUAAAACUCAAAUGAAUUGACGGGGGCCCGCACAAGCGGUGGAGCAUGUGGUUUAAUUCGAUGCAACGCGAAGAACCUUACCUGGUCUUGACAUCCACGGAAGUUUUCAGAGAUGAGAAUGUGCCUUCGGGAACCGUGAGACAGGUGCUGCAUGGCUGUCGUCAGCUCGUGUUGUGAAAUGUUGGGUUAAGUCCCGCAACGAGCGCAACCCUUAUCCUUUGUUGCCAGCGGUCCGGCCGGGAACUCAAAGGAGACUGCCAGUGAUAAACUGGAGGAGGGUGGGGAUGACGUCAAGUCAUCAUGCCCCUUACGACCAGGGCUACACACGUGCUACAAUGGCGCAUACAAAGAGAAGCGACCUCGCGAGAGCAAGCGGACCUCAUAAAGUGCGUCGUAGUCCGGAUUGGAGUCUGCAACUCGACUCCAUGAAGUCGGAAUCGCUAGUAAUCGUGGAUCAGAAUGCCACGGUGAAUACGUUCCCGGGCCUUGCACACACCGCCCGUCA
rnacentral:rRNA from 1 species